GCUCCGCGCCCUCCCCUCCGCUCCGCGCCCUCCCCUCCGCUCCGCGCACGCGCCCUCUGGCCCCGCGUUGGGUUUGCCUCGCUCUGCGGUGGCGGUUGUGAGGGUUCCCCCCGGAGGCCCGGAUGGGAAGCUGAAUGUCCCUGAGUGCCCAGAACGUUCCCAGUGCUGGAAGGCGGUCGCGCAGCAUCGCCAGGCAAGUUACUUUCCAGAGGCCGCUUUCCCGACUCCCAGCCCCCGGACCGCGGAAGGCAGAGGCUGCGGUCCGGAGCCGCGCUGGGGUGAGGGCGGCCGCCGUUGGCCCUGAAGACCCGCGCUGGGUUCUCCUGUUAAGUGACAGCUGCCCGUGCCCACCGCAGACCCCUCCCCCAGAUGUCUGUGCAGGGAGGGCCCGACGGCAGCGCGCGCGGGUCCGAGCUGGGCUGCGGACACUGAGUGCCAGGGCCAAGGACGUCGCUCACGAGGGCGUCGGCCCGGCUAGGCUUGGUGGUGUAUCAUCCAGGCCCAGCUGGACGGGGCUCCAGAGGGUGAGGGCCGAGUCUGUCCGGAAGCUCUGUCCUCAGCACCCAAAACGGAAAUGGACCCACAGGGAUCUAAGCCAUCCGUUUGAAUGACAGAGCUGGGAGGUUUGGGUUAGACUAAGGAGGUCUCAGGAAACACCCUGAGGGGCCAGACUGGACGGGCAACAUAGGGGCUGUCCUGGGCUCCCCCUCAGGCUGCCCCCUUCCCAGAGCCCCCUGCCCCGGCCUCUGGGAGCCAGCCUCUGCCUACACCCAGCCAGGACGCCCGCCACAACCUGCGUCCUGUGGCCCCAGACGGGGGUGCCUCCUCACGCAGAGGUCCCGCCACAACCUGCGUCCUGUGGCCCCAGACGGGGGGUGCCUCCUCACGCAGAGGUCCUUCUAACCCUUCCCGCCGUCCAGGCGUUUCCUGCCCCUCCCCGCCUCAGGUGGCCGCUGGGCAGCUGGGAUCUGGACCAGUUCCCUGCCCCUGCCCCUCCCCAGCGAUUUUUAUCUUGGCUUUUGGUUUUCUGCUGAAUAAUAGAUGAAAGUCAUCUUCUCAGUGGAGCGGGUGUGGCUGGUGGCCCCUAGUCACUUCCAGUUCAUCUCCCACUGCCUCCUUGAUGAGGACCGAGGGUCAAUAAAUGUUUGCUGAAUUCCUUUGC